GUCCCAGUUGCCUGCUUUGUAUCAACAAGCACCUCUCUCCUCAGCCACUCACAGCCCUGUCCUCUCUACAUCCAAUGCCAAGGUCUGGGGAUCCUCACUGGGACACUCAGCCUUGGGUUGGCCCAAUCAGGACUUAGACCCAAUCGGGAGAGACAGCCCCUGGCUUCUCUUCUCCAGGCCUUGAAGUAAAGACUGGGCGUGCUCCUUUUCACCAGUGCUGACAGCCCAGAAGAUGAAGCUGAGGAGCAGGUGAAGUUGACUGAAUGCCAUACUUCCUGCCUCUUCUCAAGACCCCAUGGAGGCUUUCCAGAGGAUGAGAGGGAAUGAAGUCCCAAGUGGAAGCCAGCAGCGGCUAUAUGGAACUGCCCAGCCUGUCUGAGGAAGAUCCUGGCCCAAGUCCAGAAGCCAGGAGCUAAGCCCAAGCAGCCCCUACUCACAGGAGGAUGCUAGAACAUCUAAGGAUGCCCAGAACUCUCUCUUCACAGUCAGGACUGACUUAGCAGCCCUGUGGGAUGGGCUUAGGGGCAAUUGUGGCACCAUUUCACAGACUGAGACCCUGAAGUCCAGAGGCAUGGAUGUACUGCAGUCAGUGGUACAUGCAUCCUUGGGGACAUGCACCCCUGUUUUUGUUAGAGUUAGUUCUGGUCAAGAGUCUAGAAUGUCUGGCCUAGGUGGAGGUCUAACAUUCCAGCUGGGCCAUGUCAUUCACUCAGCCAAGGGAACAGUCCUGUGGUGGUGGGCUCACCUUAAGCCGUGCUAAAGAGAUGGGCAGAAUAACUAGCAUUUAGUGAGAUACUGUACUUUUCCUUGCAGAAUCC
rnacentral:lncRNA from 1 species